GAGGGUAUAGCUCAGUGGUAGAGUGCAUGCUUAGCACGCACGAGGUCCUGAGUUGAAUCCCUAGUACCGCCG
rnacentral:tRNA from 1 species